rnacentral:rRNA from 1 species
GACGAACGCUGGCGGCGUGCUUAACACAUGCAAGUCGAACGGAAAGGCCCUGCUUGCAGGGUGCUCGAGUGGCGAACGGGUGAGUAACACGUGGGUGAUCUGCCCCUUACUUUGGGAUAAGCCUGGGAAACUGGGUCUAAUACUGGAUAGGACCAUGCUGUAGGUGGUGUGGUGGAAAGAUUAGUUUCGGUAAGGGAUGAGCUCGCGGCCUAUCAGCUUGUUGGUGGGGUAAUGGCCUACCAAGGCGUCGACGGGUAGCCGGCCUGAGAGGGUGGACGGCCACAUUGGGACUGAGAUACGGCCCAGACUCCUACGGGAGGCAGCAGUGGGGAAUAUUGCACAAUGGGCGCAAGCCUGAUGCAGCGACGCCGCGUGGGGGAUGACGGCCUUCGGGUUGUAAACUCCUUCCAGCCAUGACGAAGCCCUUGUGGUGACGGUAGUGGUAGAAGAAGCACCGGCUAACUACGUGCCAGCAGCCGCGGUAAUACGUAGGGUGCGAGCGUUGUCCGGAAUUACUGGGCGUAAAGAGCUCGUAGGUGGUCUGUCGCGUCAUUUGUGAAAGCCCGGGGCUUAACUCCGGGUUGGCAGGUGAUACGGGCAUGACUGGAGUACUGUAGGGGAGACUGGAAUUCCUGGUGUAGCGGUGAAAUGCGCAGAUAUCAGGAGGAACACCGGUGGCGAAGGCGGGUCUCUGGGCAGUAACUGACGCUGAGGAGCGAAAGCAUGGGUAGCGAACAGGAUUAGAUACCCUGGUAGUCCAUGCCGUAAACGGUGGGCGCUAGGUGUGGGUUUCCUUCCACGGGAUCCGUGCCGUAGCUAACGCAUUAAGCGCCCCGCCUGGGGAGUACGGCCGCAAGGCUAAAACUCAAAGGAAUUGACGGGGGCCCGCACAAGCGGCGGAGCAUGUGGAUUAAUUCGAUGCAACGCGAAGAACCUUACCUGGGCUUGACAUGCACUGGAUGCGGCCAGAGAUGGUUGUUCCCUUUGUGGCUGGUGUGCAGGUGGUGCAUGGUUGUCGUCAGCUCGUGUCGUGAGAUGUUGGGUUAAGUCCCGCAACGAGCGCAACCCUUGUCUCGUGUUGCCAGCAUUUGGUUGGGGACUCGCGGGAGACUGCCGGGGUUAACUCGGAGGAAGGUGGGGAUGACGUCAAAUCAUCAUGCCCCUUAUGUCCAGGGCUUCACACAUGCUACAAUGGCUGGUACAGAGAGUUGCGAUACCGUGAGGUGGGGCUAAUCUCGUAAAGCCAGUCUCAGUUCGGAUUGGAGUCUGCAACUCGACUCCAUGAAGUCGGAGUCGCUAGUAAUCGCAGAUCAGCAAUGCUGCGGUGAAUACGUUCCCGGGCCU